rnacentral:tRNA from 1 species
UCUAAUAUGGCAGAAUAGUGCAUUGAAUUUAAGCUUCAAAUAUAAAAUUAAAUUUUUGUUAGAA